rnacentral:rRNA from 1 species
UACGUAGGGUGCAAGCGUUGUCCGGAAUUAUUGGGCGUAAAGAGCUCGUAGGCGGUCUGUCGCGUCGGAAGUGAAAACCCGGGGCUCAACCCCGGGCCUGCUUUCGAUACGGGCAGACUAGAAUUCGGCAGGGGAGACUGGAAUUCCUGGUGUAGCGGUGAAAUGCGCAGAUAUCAGGAGGAACACCGGUGGCGAAGGCGGGUCUCUGGGCCGAUACUGACGCUGAGGAGCGAAAGCGUGGGGAGCGAACAGG